rnacentral:rRNA from 1 species
UACGAAGGGGGCUAGCGUUGUUCGGAAUUACUGGGCGUAAAGCGCACGUAGGCGGACUAUUAAGUCAGGGGUGAAAUCCCGGGGCUCAACCCCGGAACUGCCUUUGAUACUGGUAGUCUCGAGUCCGGAAGAGGUGAGUGGAAUUCCGAGUGUAGAGGUGAAAUUCGUAGAUAUUCGGAAGAACACCCGUGGCGAAGGCGGUUCUCUGGGACGGUACUGACGCUGAGACGCGAAAGCGUGGGGAGCGAACAGG